rnacentral:lncRNA from 1 species
GCGGAAAGUUUAUUAUAAAAUGGCAUAAAUUGAACAUUGUACAUAAAUUGCAUAAUAAUACUAUAGAAAUUGCAGAGGUGUAUUAAAGUCAUAUUUUUGUAUAAAGAAAAUGUUGUAUUUUGAUGCUUUUGCUAUAUAUCAUCUUCGCCUAUAGGGUUUAAUGUUGAUAAAAGUUUUGUCUAACCAAGGAGGUUAAUAUUAAUAUAACCUCCUUGGUCUAACCUAUACGAAGUUCUAUAAGCUUGUGAAAUGAUCUAUUCAAUUAUCCUUUAUUAUAAUCGAGAUAUCGUCACUUUCUUUGGUGAAGAAAGAAAAACACUUGAAGUGAAUUAUUUGUCAAUGAAAUCGGUAAACCUCCAAACUAAAUUGGCUAAACAAAAUUUUCUUUUGUCAUAGGCCUUAAAAUAAAGCUGUACUGCCUAAACUGGAAAUGAACCCAGGACACGUUCGUGUGCUAGCUCCGAGUGAUUUCACUGUAGGGGAUCUAGGCUUCAUAUUUUAAACUCAAUGGAUAUUAUCAUAUGAUGUUAAUAAAAAUUAAAACACAACUAUCUAAAAUCAAACUUUUCUCAUCACAGUUUGGAAAAUCAAAGUACUUUUUCUAAUCUUUCUUUAGUUUUGCAAUUGGGGAAAACAAAAUACCAUUUCUAAACAAAAUUAACCCCGAAAAAUUAUAAAUUAUUCUGGCUUAGCAAAAAAAUAAAUGAAAAAUACAAAGUAUUUGAAAGAAUUACUCUUUAACAAUGAUGAUUUAAUAAAUUAAAAAGCAAAUUAGUACGAUUUGUAUUUAGUAUUUUUCCUGAUUAAACACCUACGAUUGAACGUUGUCAAUAUAUAAAAUAGCAUUAGAAGCUAGAGUGUCCAUUUAGCGGCUCUACCUAACUACAGAAUAUAGACAUGAAGAUGUGGUAUGAUUUCCAAUGAGACAACUUUCCAUGCACAAGAGACCAAAUGACAUAGAAAUUAACAACCAUAGUAGCAUAUGCAAACAAAGUAAAAUUUAUAUAUAUAUAUUAUUAUAACAAGUAACAAUCUAUUAGCGAUAAAACACUGUCAAAAACUGCGACAAAUUACUAUAUACAUAAAAAAAUAAACAAAUGAAUUGACAACUUAAUACUUGCAAAAUUGUGUUGCAGUAAUUAAAAAAAUGAACUAGAGCUUGUGGCGCUCACAUGCAUCUUCAACAAUGACCACUUUUUGUUUUGAUAAUAUUCACAGUGCAUUAACCAUGUUAACUUCAUAAAGAGUGAAUUUAAAAUUAUUUUAACGUAUUUAAAAAUGUUGUCCUGUAGAUCAUAUUUGCUAUUUAAAGUUAAUAUUUGUCUAUAAUUGUAGUUUUCAAACAAAUAUGAAAAACAAGUUAAAAAUCAAAAUUAAGGGCAAUAACUCUUAUAAGGAGUUGACUGACGAUAUGGGCCAUGUAUACUUAUCCUGUUUAGCUGAUUAUAUUUGCUUUUUGGAUUUUUCUAUCUAUCUCCAUGCAUUUACCAUUUUGGCUUGCAAAGCAUAAUUUUGCUAUUUUUUUUUUACAAUUUUCUCUAUUUUUGCUCUAGAAAAAUAAAAAUAAAAAUACCAAAAUUUUAAUUUUAUUACUUUUACACCAACAUAGUACUAUAUUUCCAUAUAUGUAGUUUAGUCAUAAGUGUUGUUUUCUUGCGGUGAUGGAUAAUUGAAAACUGGUAGAAACUGGCUUUUCCCCCCAUACAUUUCAUUGAAAUUUGCCAUUUUUUUUAGUUGAACAGUCCUGCCUGGUGCUCUCUGACAUUGACUCUUAACAUUUUGAUAAUUCCUGGCAAGUUUUUCAUUAUUUUCAGCAUUUGCAAGAUAAAAAAAAAACUAUAAUAUAUUAGCUAUGUUGGCCAUGUUUAUUGGCAAGCAGGAUCAUCGGACACAAUUUGAGAACUAGAUAUAUCAAGGAUAAGUCUGUCCAACUUUGGUGCCGUGGAGAAGAUGAUUGUAAAACUAUAUAUCGGACGACAGCAGACAACAGACGCCAAGUAAUGAGAAAAGCUCAUUUGUUCAUUCGGUUCAGAUGACCUUAAAAUAAUAGAGAAAAAUAAAAAUAAAGAAACUUAAAAUAUGCUUAGUGUUGUUAUUCUUAAUAUACACGUAAUAAAACCUUAAAAAAGCAAAACAUAAAUAAAUACACAAAAACAUAUAAACAUACAAAAUAUCUUUAAAAAACCAAACGAAGCAAAAAAUCCUUUGUGUUUAUUGAUUUCAAUUGAAACAGUACUCAUCAAAGACACAGUUAACCAAUUAUCUUUUUGCACCAAAUAUGCAAAACAAAAUAACCAACCUGAAGAACUCAGGAAGGGUCCCUUGUGCAUUUGUGCGAGGCACAGAAAAAAAGAACUUAUACCGAUACAACCGAAUCAAUACGCUUUUUGACACAAAGACGGGAUGUUUCUCAAAAUAAUAAAUAUUUUGUGAAAAAAUUAAUUUUUCACCAAAAUUUAACACUAAUUUUCAAACAAAAGUAAAUUUUAUUGCUAAAAUUAAAGUUUCA